AUGUCUUUUUGAAUAUAAUUUAAAGUUUAAUCUGCUCAAUGAUAUUUAAAUUGCCGCGGUAUUUUGACUGUGCUAAGGUAGCAUAAUCAUUAGUUUCUUAAUUAGAAUCUGGGAUGAAUGAUUGGACAAGAAAAUUUCUGUCUCUAUUAAAUAGAUUUUAAUUUUAUAUUUUAGUGAAAAAGCUUAAAUAAUUUUAGAAGACGAGAAGACCCUAUAGAGUUUUAUAUUUAAUUUUAAAUUAAUGUUAGUAAUGUUUUUAAUAUUAUUUAUUUAGUUGGGGUGACUUGGAGAUAGAUAAAAUUCUUUAAAUUUUUUGUUGAUGAUAAUUAAUUUUAAAUAUUAAUUUUUUUGGAUUUAUAAUAAAUUACCUUAGGGAUAACAGCGUAAUUUUCUUUUAAAGUUCUUAUUGAAUGGAAAGUUUGCGACCUCGAUGUUGGAUUAAAAUUAAUUUUUGGUGUAAUAGCUUUUUGAUUGGGUCUGUUCGACCUUUAAAAUUUUACAUGAUCUGAGUU
rnacentral:rRNA from 1 species